GACGAACGCUGGCGGCGUGCUUAACACAUGCAAGUCGAACGGAAAGGCCCUGCUUUUGUGGGGUGCUCGAGUGGCGAACGGGUGAGUAACACGUGAGUAACCUGCCCUUGACUUUGGGAUAACUUCAGGAAACUGGGGCUAAUACCGGAUAGGAGCUCCUGCUGCAUGGUGGGGGUUGGAAAGUUUCGGCGGUUGGGGAUGGACUCGCGGCUUAUCAGCUUGUUGGUGGGGUAGUGGCUUACCAAGGCUUUGACGGGUAGCCGGCCUGAGAGGGUGACCGGCCACAUUGGGACUGAGAUACGGCCCAGAGUCCUACGGGAGGCAGCAGUGGGGAAUAUUGCACAGUGGGCGGAAGCCUGAUGCAGCAACGCCGCGUGCGGGAUGACGGCCUUCGGGUUGUAAACCGCUUUCGCCUGUGACGAAGCGUGAGUGACGGUAAUGGGUAAAGAAGCACCGGCUAACUACGUG
rnacentral:rRNA from 1 species